UCUAUUCGGGGAAGCCGGGCCUGGUGCAGUCUUGGUUGCCAGGCGUCCGCCCAAUCCCAGACUUGAGCAUGUGCUGUCGGGUUGGGACUUAGGAUUCUGCUUGGGUCUUAACAAUGCCGGGGUGCCGAAGCCUGCAGUUGGCUCGGGCGAGGAGGGUGCCCGCCGGGUCAGCCUGGUAAUGAUGUAAUGGGGACCCCUCCUCUGGAAACAUGAAACACUUAGGAAUUUGCAAAUUUUGGCCCUAGAAGAGGAGCGUGGGGAAGUAACUCCCCAAAAUGACGAACACAAAGGGAAAGAGGAGAGGCACCCGGUAUAUGUUCUCUAGGCCUUUUAGGAAACAUGGCGUUGUUCCUUUGGCCACA